rnacentral:rRNA from 1 species
GCGACCCCAGGAUGGGNGAGGCCACCCGCUGAGUUUAAG